rnacentral:rRNA from 1 species
UACCAGACUCCUACGGGAGGCAGCAGUGGGGAAUAUUGCACAAUGGGGGAAACCCUGAUGCAGCGACGCCGCGUGAGUGAAGAAGUAAUUCGUUAUGUAAAGCUCUAUCAGCAGGGAAGAAAAUGACGGUACCUGAGUAAGAAGCCCCGGCUAACUACGUGCCAGCAGCCGCGGUAAUACGUAGGGGGCAAGCGUUAUCCGGAUUUACUGGGUGUAAAGGGAGCGUAGACGGUUGUGCAAGUCUGAAGUGAAAGCCCGCGGCUCAACUGCGGAACGGCUUUGGAAACUGUGUAACUGGAGUGCUGGAGAGGUAAGCGGAAUUCCUGGUGUAGCGGUGAAAUGCGUAGAGAUCAGGAGGAACACCGGCGGCGAAGGCGGCUUACUGGACAGUAACUGACACUGAGGCACGAAAGCGUGGGGAGCAAACAGGAUUAGAUACCCCGGUAA